GACGAACGCUGGCGGCGUGCCUAAUACAUGCAAGUAGAACGCUGAAGGAGGAGCUUGCUUCUCUGGAUGAGUUGCGAACGGGUGAGUAACGCGUAGGUAACCUGCCUGGUAGCGGGGGAUAACUAUUGGAAACGAUAGCUAAUACCGCAUAAUAGUAGAUGUUGCAUGACAUUUGCUUAAAAGGUGCAAUUGCAUCACUACCAGAUGGACCUGCGUUGUAUUAGCUAGUUGGUGAGGUAACGGCUCACCAAGGCGACGAUACAUAGCCGACCUGAGAGGGUGAUCGGCCACACUGGGACUGAGACACGGCCCAGACUCCUACGGGAGGCAGCAGUAGGGAAUCUUCGGCAAUGGACGGAAGUCUGACCGAGCAACGCCGCGUGAGUGCAGAAGGUUUUCGGAUCGUAAAGCUCUGUUGUAAGAGAAGAACGAGUGUGAGGGUGGAAAGUUCACACUGUGACGGUAUCUUACCAGAAAGGGACGGCUAACUACGUG
rnacentral:rRNA from 1 species